CGGGGGGGGUAAGCGUUGUUCGGAAUUACUGGGCGUAAAGGGCUCGUAGGCGGCCAACUAAGUCAUACGUGAAAUCCCUCAGCUUAACUGGGGAACUGCGUGUGAUACUGGAUGGCUUGGAUUUGGGAGAGGGAUGCGGAAUUCCAGGUGUAGCGGUGAAAUGCGUAGAUAUCUGGAGGAACACCGGUGGCGAAGGCGGCAUCCUGGACCAAUAUUGACGCUGAGGAGCGAAAGCUAGGGGAGCAAACGGGAUUAGAUACCCCGGUAGUCCUAGCCCUAAACGAUGAAUGCUUGGUGUAGCGGGUAUCGAUCCCUGCUGUGCCGAAGCUAACGCAUUAAGCAUUCCGCCUGGGGAGUACGGUCGCAAGGCUG
rnacentral:rRNA from 1 species